AAAUUGAAGAGUUUGAUCAUGGCUCAGAUUGAACGCUGGCGGCAGGCCUAACACAUGCAAGUCGAACGGUAACAGGAAGAAGCUUGCUUCUUUGCUGACGAGUGGCGGACGGGUGAGUAAUGUCUGGGAAACUGCCUGAUGGAGGGGGAUAACUACUGGAAACGGUAGCUAAUACCGCAUAACGUCGCAAGACCAAAGAGGGGGACCUUCGGGCCUCUUGCCAUCGGAUGUGCCCAGAUGGGAUUAGCUAGUAGGUGGGGUAACGGCUCACCUAGGCGACGAUCCCUAGCUGGUCUGAGAGGAUGACCAGCCACACUGGAACUGAGACAC
rnacentral:rRNA from 1 species